rnacentral:tRNA from 1 species
GGUGGUGUAGCUGAGUGGUAGAGCGAUCACCUAGCAUGUAUUAGGCCCUGGGUUUGAUCCUCAGCACUGCAA